UACGAAGGGUGCAAGCGUUACUCGGAAUUACUGGGCGUAAAGCGUGCGUAGGCGGUUUGUUAAGUCUGAUGUGAAAGCCCUGGGCUCAACCUGGGAAUGGCAUUGGAAACUGGCUUACUAGAGUGCGGUAGAGGGUAGCGGAAUUCCCGGUGUAGCAGUGAAAUGCGUAGAUAUCGGGAGGAACAUCCGUGGCGAAGGCGGCUACCUGGACCAGCACUGACACUGAGGCGCGAAAGCCAGGGGAGCAAACGGG
rnacentral:rRNA from 1 species